UACGAAGGGGGCUAGCGUUGCUCGGAAUUACUGGGCGUAAAGGGCGCGUAGGCGGACAGUUUAAUCAGAGGUGAAAGCCCAGGGCUCGACCUUGGAACUGCCUUUGAUACUGACUGUCUUGAGUUCGGGAGAGGUGAGUGGAAUGCCGAGUGUAGAGGUGAAAUUCGUAGAUAUUCGGCGGAACACCAGUGGCGAAGGCGACUCACUGGCCCGAUACUGACGCUGAGGCGCGAAAGCGUGGGGAGCAAACAGG
rnacentral:rRNA from 1 species